rnacentral:rRNA from 1 species
CCUACGGGGGGCAGCAGUGAGGAAUAUUGGUCAAUGGACGCAAGUCUGAACCAGCCAUGCCGCGUGCAGGAAGAAGGCCCUAUGAGUUGUAAACUGCUUUUGUACGGGGGUAAACGCAGAUACGCGUAUCUGUCUGAAAGUAUCGUACGAAUAAGGAUCGGCUAACUCCGUGCCAGCAGCCGCGGUAAUACGGAGGAUUCGAGCGUUAUCCGGAUUUAUUGGGUUUAAAGGGUGCGUAGGCGGUCUGAUAAGUUAGAGGUGAAAUCCCGAGGCUCAACUUCGAAAUUGCCUUUGAUACUGUUCGGCUAGAGAGUAGUAGCGGUAGGCGGAAUGUGUGGUGUAGCGGUGAAAUGCUUAGAGAUCAUACAGAACACCGAUUGCGAAGGCAGCUUACCAGGCUACUACUGACGUUGAGGCACGAAAGUGUGGGUAUCAAACAGGAUUAGAUACCCUGGUAGUC